AUAAAUUUUUAUUUUACAUCCAUUUUUGAAAAAUGAUAGUCUAGAUCUUAACUUAAAACCAG
rnacentral:tRNA from 1 species